CAUGAUGAUUCCUUGUGUUGCGUUGCCGGUUCUGAGCGUUCGCCCGGGAAACCGCCUUCAAAGAAAAAACUAAACUAUUAGUAAAAUAUUUAAAAACGCACGUACUUAAUGACAAAUUAACUAAUUAAUUUUUUUAAAUACCUGUUUACGAGGGUUGUUGAAUUCUGAUGUCAGAAGCCAACGUCACUCGUACUCUCUGUACUGGAACUCAGCAGAGGUACCAGAACGUGCGUUCCAGUGAGUAGUCCAAUGGGUCAGCAACUCAUUCUUCCACUCCUUGUACCUACAGAUAUAACAAAAAUAUUAGAAAUAUUAUUAAUUUCACAUACAAUUUUGUUUUUUCAUUAACUUCCCAACGUACCUUCCCCCAUGCACAACGUCCGCCCAGCUGCUCUUCAGGUGCUCGGGAACCUCAAACCACACUUGCAUUUAACCGUUUAUUAGUUUAGUUUUUCGAGAAAUCUACAAUGUAAUACAUAAUAUUAUUGAGGCAUUUUGUAAACUCACCGACAUCGCGUUGUGGACCAUGUCCUUAACCUCCUGCGGGACCUCGCCCCAGUCUGACCACAACAUAAGGACUCUAUCCCUAAUGAGUGCUCCCACGCGGCAGGAGUACGUCCUCGACUUUCCGCCCGAUAUUAUGUCGCCAUCCCCGUCAGUACCGAUGAUAAUCCUCCCUGAGGUACCGACGAUCUUCUCGAGAGCCUUCCCUGUGACGGGGCCUCUCUUCUUUUUUGUCGGCUUCGCUCCGACGGUGCCUAUCACAUGAUAAACCAAAUUGAUUAUUAAAAUCGGAGAAUUAUAAGAAAACAAAUCAUUCAUCUUUCAUUACCUGAGGGCGAUGCGGCGGACGCGACGAAUUCCGUCUCCGAUGAUGAUACCCUCGCGGAAAUAAGAGGCGUAUCAAAAGGCACGAACCGGUACGCCGCUGAUGGAGCCACUGGCGAGGGCAGUGGAUAAAUCGGCGUCCCUGAGCCAUCGACUGCAGGUAAGGCCAGUAUCAUCCGCGGAAGGAAUAGAUGAGGCGGCGGCAUCUGUACCCCAGAUGACCCACUAUUCGAAGAAGUAGGACCUGAAGUGGGCGCCCGGUGUAUCUCAGGCAUACUGGGUGCAGACACCUCCGUCUAGGUCUGAGGCCACAACUGCCUCGAGGAAUGAGGGACGCCCCGCUGCCUCGAUGAAGGGGGCAUCUCCGGCUGCCUCUGCGCCGUUUGCAGAAGGCUCGCAUGUCUAGCUGUCAUGAGGCCCUGAAACGACGUUUGAGGGUUGCUAGAGGUUCCCUCAGACGAUUCGGACCUUUGGCCAUUCGAACCCUUCGUCGAUCUAAUAUUACCUCUCAUCCUGUUUAAAAUAUUAAUUUGAAUCAAGGCCACAAAAUCAAACAAUGUAAACCCAUUCAAUUAGUCAACAAAAAAAAAUAUAUACACUUCCUAAAUACAAAUUUACACUUCCUAAAUACAAAUAUACACUUCCUAAAUAAAAAUAUACACUUACUAACAACACCACAACAUUGCAAUUGACCGGAAAAUCAAAGCAAACACAAAAUACUAAAUACAAAUAUACACUUUCUAAAUACUAAAUACAAAUAUACACUUCCUAAAUAAAAAUAUACACUUCN
rnacentral:lncRNA from 1 species